AGAACGAACGCUGGCGGCAUGCCUAAUACAUGCAAGUCGAACGAACUCUUCGGAGUUAGUGGCGCACGGGUGCGUAACGCGUGGGAAUCUGCCCCUUGGUUCGGAAUAACAGUUGGAAACGACUGCUAAUACCGGAUGAUGACGAAAGUCCAAAGAUUUAUCGCCAAGGGAUGAGCCCGCGUAGGAUUAGCUAGUUGGUGAGGUAAAGGCUCACCAAGGCAACGAUCCUUAGCUGGUCUGAGAGGAUGAUCAGCCACACUGGGACUGAGACACGGCCCAGACUCCUACGGGAGGCAGCAGUAGGGAAUAUUGGACAAUGGGCGAAAGCCUGAUCCAGCAAUGCCGCGUGAGUGAUGAAGGCCUUAGGUUGUAAAGCUUCUUUUACCCGAGAUGAUAAUGACAGUAUCGGGAGAAUAACGCCCCGGCUAACCGUCCGCGCCAGCACGCCCGCGGUAACUCGUAGACGGUCCGGGACGUCGGGACGAAACGGGUCCGACGAACGUUA
rnacentral:rRNA from 1 species